GUGCUUGCUUGGCAGCACAGAUACUAAUAUUAGAAUGAUACAGAGAUUAGCACGGCCUCUGUGCAAGGAUGACACGCAAAUUCGUGAAUGGUUCCAUAUUUUU
ensembl:snRNA U6 U6 spliceosomal RNA